rnacentral:rRNA from 1 species
AUUGAACGCUGGCGGCAGGCCUAACACAUGCAAGUCGAGCGGAGCGGCGGACGGGUGAGUAAUGCCUAGGAAUCUGCCUGGUAGUGGGGGAUAACGUCCGGUAACGGGCGCUAAUACCGCAUACUAUCAGAUGAGCCUAGGUCGGAUUAGCUAUAGGCUUCCCCUCGUAUCGACCUAGGCGACGAUCCGUAACUGGGCUGAGAGGAUGAUCAGUCACACUGGAACUGUGACACGGUCCAGACUCCUACGGUAGGCAGCAGUGGGGAAUAUUGGACAAUGGGCGAAAGCCUGAUCCAGCCAUGCCGCGUGUGUGAAGAAGGGCUUCGGAUUGUAAAGCACUGUAAUUUGGGAGGCGUUACCAACAGAAUAAGCACCGGCUAACUUCGUGCCAGCAGCCGCGGUAAUAC